CACGCCGCGUGAGUGAUGAAGGUUUUCGGAUCGUAAAGCUCUGUUGUUAGGGAAGAACAAGUACCGUUCGAAUAGGGCGGUACCUUGACGGUACCUAACCAGAAAGCCACGGCUAACUACGUGCCAGCAGCCGCGGUAAUACGUAGGUGGCAAGCGUUGUCCGGAAUUAUUGGGCGUAAAGGGCUCGCAGGCGGUUUCUUAAGUCUGAUGUGAAAGCCCCCGGCUCAACCGGGGAGGGUCAUUGGAAACUGGGGAACUUGAGUGCAGAAGAGGAGGGUGGAAUUCCACGUGUAGCGGUGAAAUGCGUAGAGAUGUGGAGGAACACCAGUGGCGAAGGCGACUCUCUGGUCUGUAACUGACGCUGAGGAGCGAAAGCGUGGGGAGCGAACAGGAUUAGAUACCCUGGUAGUCCACGCCGUAAACGAUGAGUGCUAAGUGUUAGGGGGUUUCCGCCCCUUAGUGCUCCAGCUAACGCAUUAAGCACUCCG
rnacentral:rRNA from 1 species